rnacentral:rRNA from 1 species
AUUGAACGCUGGCGGCAGGCCUAACACAUGCAAGUCGAGCGGAUGAAGGGAGCUUGCUCCUGGAUUCAGCGGCGGACGGGUGAGUAAUGCCUAGGAAUCUGCCUGGUAGUGGGGGAUAACGUCCGGAAACGGGCGCUAAUACCGCAUACGUCCUGAGGGAGAAAGUGGGGGAUCUUAGGACCUCACGCUAUCAGAUGAGCCUAGGUCGGAUUAGCUAGUUGGUGGGGUAAAGGCCUACCAAGGCGACGAUCCGUAACUGGUCUGAGAGGAUGAUCAGUCACACUGGAACUGAGACACGGUCCAGACUCCUACGGGAGGCAGCAGUGGGGAAUAUUGGACAAUGGGCGAAAGCCUGAUCCAGCCAUGCCGCGUGUGUGAAGAAGGUCUUCGGAUUGUAAAGCACUUUAAGUUGGGAGGAAGGGCAGUAAGUUAAUACCUUGCUGUUUUGACGGUACCAACAGAAUAAGCACCGGCUAACUUCGUG